UUAUUGGAGAGUUUGAUCCUGGCUCAGGACGAACGCUGGCGGCGUGCCUAAUACAUGCAAGUCGAGCGAUAUCUUUGGGGGCUUGCC
rnacentral:rRNA from 1 species